rnacentral:lncRNA from 1 species
GGGAAAGACUUGGGUGGCCAUAGCCAACGAUUGCGGCCAACCCUGCAAGCGGGGAGCGUUUGCGACGCGUGACAAGCAUCGACGACCUCCAGAGCACGGCCAUGCGUACUCCCGGCCCUUUCUUCCUGGCUGCCAUGCGUACUCCCGGCCCUUUCUUCCUGGCUGCCAUGCCGACAGGGCCUCGCAGGCAACCAUUUUGGCAGUAGGCGCCUGCGGCCUUCUUCCUGGCUGCCACUUGGUCUCC